UACGAAGGGGGCUAGCGUUGUUCGGAAUCACUGGGCGUAAAGCGCACGUAGGCGGAUUGUUAAGUCGGGGGUGAAAUCCCGAGGCUCAACCUCGGAACUGCCUUCGAUACUGGCAAUCUUCGAGUCCGGAAGAGGUGAGUGGAACUCCGAGUGUAGAGGUGAAAUUCGUAGAUAUUCGGAAGAACACCAGUGGCGAAGGCGGCUCACUGGUCCGGUACUGACGCUGAGGUGCGAAAGCGUGGGGAGCAAACAGG
rnacentral:rRNA from 1 species